rnacentral:rRNA from 2 species
AGUCCACAUCGACGGGGAGGUUUGGCACCUCGAUGUCGGCUCAUCGCAUCCUGGGGCUGUAGUCGGUCCCAAGGGUUGGGCUGUUCGCCCAUUAAAGCGGUACGCGAGCUGGGUUCAGAACGUCGUGAGACAGUUCGGUCCCUAUCCGUCGCGGGCGUAGGAAAUUUGAGAGGACCUGUCCUUAGUACGAGAGGACCGGGAUGGACAUACCGCUGGUGUACCAGUUGUUCCGCCAGGAGCACCGCUGGGUAGCUAUGUAUGGACGAGAUAAACGCUGAAAGCAUCUAAGUGUGAAACUCGCCUCGAGAUGAGAUUUCCCAUUUCCUUCGGGAAAGUAAGACCCCUCAGAGAUGAUGAGGUAGAUAGGAUGGAAGUGGAAGUGCCGUGAGGCAUGGAGCGGACCAUUACUAAUCGGUCGAGGACUUAACCAAG